rnacentral:rRNA from 1 species
UACCAGCACCCCGAGUGGUCGGGACGUUUAUUGGGCCUAAAGCAUCCGUAGCCGGUUCUACAAGUCUUCCGUUAAAUCCAACUGCUUAACAGGUGGGAUGCGGAAGAUACUAUAGAGCUAGGAGGCGGGAGAGGCAAGCGGUACUCGAUGGGUAGGGGUAAAAUCCGUUGAUCCAUUGAAGACCACCAGUGGCGAAGGCGGCUUGCCAGAACGCGCUCGACGGUGAGGGAUGAAAGCUGGGGGAGCAAACCGG